CUUCUCAUCAUGGUAGCAGCAAGAAGGCAAACAACACAUAACAGAGCGAGUCGAUUGAUCGAUUAUGCAUGCGCUCGAUUCACCGCCCUGGAAGGUCCAUCCAUUAUUACGCUCCCCCGUAAACACGUGCGCGUGCAAACAAAACACCACUUUCCCCCAGAUUUAAGCUGCAUUUUUGUACAGUUAUUAUUUUUGUUGAGGAUACGGAUAGAUAUGCAAACAGAGAGUUUUGACCCCGAGAAGAGUGAAUUUCUGCAGCCUUCAGACAGUGAGAUACAGACAUGGAUGUCAAAGGCGUUUGAUAUGGCAAUUGAAGCCCUUGAGAAUGGUGAGGUUCCAGUUGGCUGUUUGAUGGUUUAUAACAAUGAGAUAAUUGGAAAAGGAAGAAAUGAGGUGAAUGAAACAAAAAAUGCUACCCGGCAUGCAGAAAUGGUGGCACUGGAUCAAGUGCUGGACUGGUGCCGUUUCAGAGCGAAGGACCCGAAGGAAGUGUGUGAACAGACUGUUCUGUAUGUGACAGUGGAGCCAUGUAUCAUGUGUGCUGCUGCUCUGCGCCUGCUUUACAUACCUCUAGUUGUAUAUGGGUGCAUAAAUGAGCGGUUUGGAGGCUGUGGCUCCGUCAUGGACAUCUCAUCAGAUCAUUUACCACACACUGGAACAACAUUUAAGCUCGCCGUUCCACCCAUCCGAUCACCUUGGGAUCCAGAACGGUUACACAACUUCAAGCAAAUUUCUCAUGAACAAGAUACAAGAAGUGAAAAGGAAGCUGGGUGUGGACUGAAGCCGAGUGUUUGACAAAUAAGCUGACAUGGUUUUAUGCAGCUGAAAAGAUGCUAGGCGAGCCAGGCCUGGGCGGGAGCUUCUUUACCAACAUGAGUGAUGAGACGGGCUGAGAAGCUCUUGGAGUCUUGUGGUUUUGGCAAGCGUGACUGGACUGUCUGCGGAAAAUCCCCUCCAACAAAACAGCACAACUCACUCAGAGGACCCUGAACUAUAAGCAAGACAGGCCUUGUCAAACACUCCCAGGAUUGACUCCAAUAUCCUCCCGUUCCAGUGAAAGUGUUGCAUGCACUUCAGAUUGAUGCCGCUCGAGUGUCAAACACCCGCUGUCUGAUAGCAGAACCAAUGGUGAGAUACAAUUACAGAUUGGCAAAGGUAUAGUAUUUAUGAUGUGUAAUCUAUUAUGUUAUUAUUUAUUCAGUCUUAAUUGCACAAUUAAUAUCAUUGAUCACCAAAAAUCAAUAUGCACAAGUGAUUUAUGCUUUAAAGAAAUGAUAAUUAGACUGCAAAAUAUGAGUUUAUUAAUUAUUAAUCAACAAUCACAUUGUUAUUUAUUUAAAAUAUUAAUAAUACAAUAAUAUAUUAAUUUAUUUAAG